rnacentral:rRNA from 1 species
GUGGGGAAUAUUGGACAAUGGGGGCAACCCUGAUCCAGCAAUGCCGCGUGUGUGAAGAAGGUCUUCGGAUUGUAAAGCACUUUCGACGGGGACGAUGAUGACGGUACCCGUAGAAGAAGCCCCGGCUAACUUCGUGCCAGCAGCCGCGGUAAUACGAAGGGGGCUAGCGUUGCUCGGAAUGACUGGGCGUAAAGGGCGUGUAGGCGGUUUACACAGUCAGAUGUGAAAUCCCCGGGCUUAACCUGGGAGCUGCAUUUGAUACGUGUAGACUAGAGUGUGAGAGAGGGUUGUGGAAUUCCCAGUGUAGAGGUGAAAUUCGUAGAUAUUGGGAAGAACACCGGUGGCGAAGGCGGCAACCUGGCUCAUGACUGACGCUGAGGCGCGAAAGCGUGGGGAGCAAACAGGAUUAGAAACCCCUGUAGUCC